UAAGACUCCAGAGGCAAACUGCCCGUCUAGACAGCUCUGGCCUGCAGAGCCCACCACUCCCAGGCCAGCGCCGUGAGGUCCUGUUGAGCCACCCACCUCACUGUGAUCAUCCCCAGGUAAACCCUCGGACGUGGGCCCGGUGCCCUCCUUGCUGAGGCUGAAGCCACGUGGCCAUGAAAACCUGAGCAUCACAAGCCGCUCUCUGCGUUUGUGGUGUGAUCAGGGCCUUCUACCACAAGCCAUGUGCCCAGGCUGAUCCUCUCUAAUGUGGAGAGGCGGCUGCGCUGGAAAGGCCUCAGUAAGAGCAGCUGGGCCCUUGCAGACAGACAUCACGGUGUGACCCUCGGGACUGGCUCCCUGCGGCCACUGCAGCACAGGUGUUCACAUCUCACAGUGGAGGCAGUGGAGACCAUGCUCGCCUGCAGGCUCUCGGCGAGGCUCUGAGUCUGGCCCCUUGCGUAGCCCCUGGUGACUCCUUGGCUUCUGGAGCGGAACUCCAUCCUUCACAUGGCGCUUUCCUCGAGGGCCUGUGUGCGUGUCAUCUGUGGCCAAGUUCCCACUUCAUAAGGACAUCAGUCAUAUUGGAUGGGGUCCCACCCUGCUCCAAUGAGACCCCAUCUUUUUUUUUUUUUUUUUUUUGAGACAGAGUCUUGCUCUGUGGCCCAGGAGGGAGUGCAGUGGCACGAUCUUGGCUCACUGCAAGCUCCGCCUCCUGGGUUCACGCCAUUCCCCUGCCUCAACCUCCCAAGGAGCUGGGACUACAGGCGCUCGCCACUGCACCCGGCUAAUUUUUUGUAUUGUUAGUGGAGACGGGGUUUCACUGUGUUAGCCAGGAUGGUCUUGAUCUCCUGACCUUGUGAUCCACCCUCCUCGGCCUCCCAAAGUGCUGGGAUUACAGGCAUGAGCCACCGCGCCCGGCUGAGACCCCAUCUUAAUCACACCUGCAGUGACCCUGUUUUCAAGUUAAGGCCACAUUCUGAGACAGUUGCUCUGUCACCCAGGCUGGAGUGUAGCUCUUGGCUCACUGCCUCUGCUUCCCGGG
rnacentral:lncRNA from 10 species